GACGAACGCUGGCGGCGUGCUUAACACAUGCAAGUCGAACGGAAAGGCCCUGCUUUUGUGGGGUGCUCGAGUGGCGAACGGGUGAGUAACACGUGAGUAACCUGCCCUUGACUUUGGGAGAACUUCAGGAAACUGGGGCUAAUACCGGAUAGGAGCUCCUGCUGCAUGGUGGGGGUUGGAAAGUUUCGGCGGUUGGGGAUGGACUCGCGGCUUAUCAGCUUGUUGGUGGGGUAGUGGCUUACCAAGGCUUUGACGGGUAGCCGGCCUGAGAGGGUUACCGGCCACAUUGGGACUGAGAUACGGCCCAGACUGCUACGGGAGGCAGCAGUGGGGAAUAUUGCACAAUGGGCGGAAGCCUGAUGCAGCAACGCCGCGUGCGGGAUGACGGCCUUCGGGUUGUAAACCGCUUUCGACUGUGACGAAGCGUGAGUGACGGUAAUGGGUAAAGAAGCACCGGCUAACUACGUG
rnacentral:rRNA from 1 species